AGUAAAUAGAUACCCUGGUAGUCCACGCCGUAAACGAUGUCGACUUGGAGGUUGUGCCCUUGAGGCGUGGCUUCCGGAGCUAAACGCGUUAAGUCGACCGCCUGGGGAGUACGGCCGCAAGGUUAAAACUCAAAUGAAUUGACGGGGGCCCGCACAAGCGGUGGAGCAUGUGGUUUAAUUCGAUGCAACGCGAAGAACCUUACCUACUCUUGACAUCCAGAGAACUUUCCAGAGAUGGAUUGGUGCCUUCGGGAACUCUGAGACAGGUGCUGCAUGGCUGUCGUCAGCUCGUGUUGUGAAAUGUUGGGUUAAGUCCCGCAACGAGCGCAACCCUUAUCCUUUGUUGCCAGCGGUUAGGCCGGGAACUCAAAGGAGACUGCCAGUGAUAAACUGGAGGAAGGUGGGGAUGACGUCAAGUCAUCAUGGCCCUUACGAGUAGGGCUACACACGUGCUACAAUGGCGCAUACAAAAGAGAAGCGACCUCGCGAGAGCAAGC
rnacentral:rRNA from 1 species